rnacentral:rRNA from 1 species
UGCCCCUUAUGUCCUGGGCUACACACGUAAUACAAUGGCGGUCAACAGAGGGAUGCAAAGCCGCGAGGCAGAGCGAACCCCUAAAACCGUCCCAGUUCGGAUCGCAGGCUGCAACCCGCCUGCGUGAAGUCGGAAUCGCUAGUAAUCGCGGAUCAGCAUGCCGCGGUGAAUACGUUCCCGGGCCUUGUACACACCGCCCGUCACACCAUGAGAGUCGGGAACACCCGAAGUCCGUAGCCUAACCGCAAGGAGGGCGCGGCCGAAGGUGGGUUCGAUAAUUGGGGUGAAGUCGUAACAAGGUAGCCGUAUCGGAAGGUGCGGCUGGAUCACCUCCUUU